rnacentral:rRNA from 1 species
AGACCGAUAGCGAACAAGUACCGUGAGGGAAAGAUGAAAAGAACUUUGAAAAGAGAGUUAAACAGUAUGUGAAAUUGUUAAAAGGGAACCGUUUGGAGCCAGACUGGUUUGACUGUAAUCAACCUAGAAUUCGUUCUGGGUGCACUUGCAGUCUAUACCUGCCAACAACAGUUUGAUUUGGAGGAAAAAAUUAGUAGGAAUGUAGCCUCUCGAGGUGUUAUAGCCUACUAUCAUACUCUGGAUUGGACUGAGGAACGCAGCGAAUGCCUUUAGGCAAGAUUGCUGGGUGCUUUCGCUAAUAAAUGUUAGAAUUUCUGCUUCGGGUGGUGCUAAUGUUUAAAGGAGGAACACAUCUAGUAUAUUUUUUAUUCGCUUAGGUUGUUGGCUUAAUGACUCUAAAUGACCCGUCUUGAAACACGGACCAAG